rnacentral:rRNA from 1 species
GGUGGAGCGAUUUGUCUGGUUAAUUCCGAUAACGAACGAGACUCUGGCCUAUUAAAUAGACGGUGUAUUUAAAAGUACGUCGCGCUUCUUAGAGGGACAAGCGGCGUCUAGCCGCAUGAAAUAGAGCAAUAACAGGUCUGUGAUGCCCUUAGAUGUCCGGGGCUGCACGCGCGCUACACUGAAAGAAUCAGUGGGCGUUAUACCUAGUCCGGAAGGACCGGGUAACCCAAGUAAAUUCUUUCGUGCUUGGGAUAGGGAAUUGCAAUUAUUUCCCUUGAACGAGGAAUUCCCAGUAAAUGCGGGUCAUAAGCUCGCGUUGAAUACGUCCCUGCCCUUUGUAC